rnacentral:lncRNA from 1 species
CUCCUCCACAGCUCCUCCUGGUCUUGGAAUGUGCCCCUCCUGGCUGGCCCUCUCCCAAGAACACAGAGGGCCCAAGGGUCAGGAUGUGGCUGGACCUGUUCCCUCCUUACUGGACCACGUGAGGACGAGGCCCUGAACACUUAAGGGUACUGUGGCUUGAUGGGGACUUUGGUCCCCUCUCCAGUGGCCUAGGUAGGACUUUCCUGGAUCACACCUUGCUCCCAGGGAGAUGGUGCCAGGCUUGCAGGCUGUGACCUGAGGGUGGAGGGCACAGCGGCUGCACCCAUCAGUAGCCAGAGAAGGGAGGCCAGAGGUCAACCCCUGUCGCUCCCUGGCCAGAGAGGCUGGUAUGGCUGGCCUCCUCAUCUCAAGGGGUUCCUGGUUUGGACUGUCGUAAGCUUCAGUGGUCCUCGUGUGGGAGUUGGCAGUGGAACUACUCCAACUGGCCUGGACCUCUGUAGAAAUCUGGGCUUCAAGUCUAAGACUGCUCUGCCCCCACUCACAAAUGAGGUAGCCUGAGCUACCUCAAGGCAGGCAUUGUGGAGAGGUCCCGGCAAUGGACCCCUUAAGGCCUAGUGGAGCCCUUGUCAAGAGGCAGUCCUUGGAGCAGGAGCAGAUGUAUGGUGGGACAGGGAGAAGGUGUGUUCCAUGCAAGGGGCAGAACGUGAAAGGAAAGGGAGUGUUCCGAGUCUCCUACAGUCCUGUACUCCUGGGCUGACAGCCACAGGCAGGCAUCUAGCCACAUCCUGUACCCCACAGGGUCAGGUGCUUCCAGUCCACUCCUGGCAACUGUGCAGUAACCUUUGGGGAGCUGCUCAGUGACCCCAGGGUCAUCAACACCCCGGUGGAGGUUCAGGCUGCUUUCCUAUGUAUGGUGUCUGCUACACCAGAGGACUGGUGGACUGAACACUGUCCCUGGGAGACGCACAUGCUAAGGCUGCUAAUGCAGGGAUUGUUACCAAGGGUUUUUUAUUAGUUUUAUUAGAACAAAGAGGCAUUCUGCUUGCAAUGUAAAAACAGUUCCAAAAAUCUCAAUGAGUCUCACACCGGGGCUGUGCUGGAUGGAGGUUUGGGAGAGCAGGAACUGGGGAGAAACAGGGUGGGCACAGGGCAGCUCCACCCUAAACGCUUAGGUAAGUUUUUGCCACAACCACCAGCUUUGUCCAGGGUCUGCCAUGAGGGGCCUGGAGCCUCACUAGAUCUGGCAGCUAAAGGCUCUCGCAUACCCUUAGAACAGAAUAGAACCCGGAAACAACCCCAACAGUCGUUCUUUUACAGAAGAUAGAAAUUGUCCUUUGAGGUCAGAGACCACCACUGAGGUCUGGUAAGGCAUGGGGCCACCAAGUCCUUUCUGCAGCUGGCUGGGUCCUUAGGAUCAAGCACUGUGGCUCCAGGAAUGGCAGCUGUGUGCUGGGUACACACCAGCACAUGCACAGAGAGACAGGCUGUGUUGAGCCUGCAGGGCCUGGUGGGCGGCACUCCUUCCUCAGCUACCGUAUGACAGUCCACACACCAGCCUUCCCACCCACUCACAGACCACUGGCUGGCUACACAGGACUACAUGGGCAUGGCUGACUUCUGUGGCCCCGGCACAGAUGUGCCAACAAUGACCAGCACUCCAGUUGGAAGCACAGCUGUGGAAGGCAGAUGCUGCCCGAGGACCAUGGCAGCAGCACUGUGCCCAGAAACAAGCUCUAAGACUAUGAUCACAACAUGAUGCUCUCAACUGUCUUUGCACAGCUGAUGUUGAAAAAAAAUGCUAUUAACAUGUUGUAGAAAAAUAAAUACCGUUCAAUAGACUGCCUGCCAUCCAGCCUGAACUUACAGGGCACAGCGCGCGCACCAGGCUUGGUGCCUCUCCUAGUUACUGGCCACAUGAUUCAGAACACUUUCAGCAGUUAUUUGAAUGAUCCAUGAGGACAGUAGACAGGAGGAUCAUACCAGAGCUAUAACGAUGACAGAUUCACAUCACACAGUCACCUGGACAAAAGCAGACACCUCAAAACACCCAGUGAAAGGGAGAACAACCACCGGUCACACAGACAUCUACAGCACACCUACAGGAGCCACAGGUGGGCAGACUGAUGCAGCCUGGACCAUCGUCAGCGAACCACGGUCACAUAGGGAGGGAGGGUGACCAGGUCGGCCUUGGAUGGGUACACCACUUUCAAGCUGCCUUCCAGGUCCACCACUCGGACCUGCUCCACCACCAGGGGGCACUGUCCAUCCUUCCCAGCUCUCGGAUUCAAGUUGGGAUCAGAAAGCCCAUGGCUGGCAUCAGUCUCUGUCCCUGAGAGCAUGUCUUCCUCUUUAUUUUCUGAAGUGCUUUUGUUCAGUUCUGCCAUUUUCUGCAAAUAAAAAUAACCUUUUUAAC